rnacentral:rRNA from 1 species
UACGUAGGUGGCAAGCGAUACUCGGAAUCACUAGGCGUAAAGCGCAGGUAGGAGGUUUAGUAAGUCUGUUGUGAAAGCUCCCGGCUUAACUGGGAGAGGUCAACGGAAACUGCUAGGCUAGAGUGCGGUAGAGGUAGCUGGAAUUCCCGGUGUAGCGGUGAAGUGCGUAGAUAUCGGGAGGAACACCAGAGGCGAAGGCGGCGACCUGGACAGGUACUGACACUCAACUACGAAAGCGUGGGGAGCAAACAGG